UACGUAGGGGGCUAGCGUUGUCCGGAAUUACUGGGCGUAAAGCGCACGUAGGCGGAUCUUUAAGUCAGGGGUGAAAUCCCAAGGCUCAACCUUGGAACUGCCUUUGAUACUGGGGAUCUCGAGUCCGGAAGAGGUUGGUGGAACUGCGAGUGUAGAGGUGAAAUUCGUAGAUAUUCGCAAGAACACCAGUGGCGAAGGCGACCAACUGGUCCGGUACUGACGCUGAGGUGCGAAAGCGUGGGGAGCAAACAGG
rnacentral:rRNA from 1 species